UGCCUAAGUCAUCUCCGAACGGUGUGGCUGGAUCUCGCUCGUGUGCGCCUCUCCCUCCCAGGGCCAACGCAACGCGACGCAACGCAACGCAAGCGGCGACGGGGACGGGACGGAUGCCCGUGUUCGCUAGGGCGAGAGCGAUCGACUAGGCGCGAGUUAGAUACAGUCUCACCGUUUGAGAUGGCGGAUGCGGGUGGAAAGAAAGGGAUAGGGAGAAAGAGAGAGAGAAAGAGAGAAAGAGUUGCUGUAAUCAAGUGCAGGCGAUACCUUGGGAUUUCGUACGCGCGCACGCACACACACACACAUCGGCCCUCCUGCCUGAUCGUCGAUUUGGUUUGUAAACUGUAUCGAAACCAAAGUACUUUCACUAUCUAGAGUUUGUCUUAUCUAUUUAUAUUUUUAACGUAUGUAUAUACUUAACGUAAAAUACUUGCGGAAAGGAGGAGAAGUUUUCACGUUGAAAUACUUUUUAUUUAGAAGUACUUUCAAGUUCCUUAAAUUUGUAAAAUCAUAUAGAUGUAUUGUAAGACUGCCUUGCAUUGUGAUAAUAAUUCUAUCAGUGUGUAGCAUUUAACUUCUCUUGAUCCUAAACAGUAUAAUGAAUAAUUGAUUAAUUUUCAGAAAAGAUUAAGAUAUUUUUUUAUUUAUCGAAUUGUUAAUCAAUUACAAAAUUUUACGUAUUAAUCACAACUUACCAGGCCAGCUCUCGAUAUUGAUGGAUUUUUUUCUCGCAGUAUUUCUAAGAUGGUUUUAUGCUGUUUAGGAUCAAGGUAACGAAGACAAAGGAUCUCAAUUAUUGUAAGCCGAAAGCCAUUGUGAUACUUUUAAUUUUUAUUAAAUACAUUUGUAAGUACAAAACCUUGUGAUACAGAUUACGUAAGAAGACGAGGUGAGAAGUAUUGAGAGGAGUGUAAAAUAAAUAAAUACAUUUUGCAAGUAACAAUGUAGAACUACUCUGUUUUUUAACUUCUCUAUUCACCAACUUAUUAAUUCCGUCAAUCGUUUUCAGUCUGGCACAUAAGCAUCCAUAGAAAAUACAUCUUAUCGCGUGAACGAAGGGCUACGGCUACCAAUGGGUGGACGACGACGUCGUCGUCACCGGCUUAGAAAACGUACCUAUAAGAUUGCAACGAGCGAAAGAAAAGAGAACCAUAGGGGAGUAUAUCUGCGUUUCGAGUGAGAGAGGGAGGGAAAGAGUCUGUGUUUCUAGAGGCUGGUUGAAUCGGCGCACAAGCAAAAUUAUCCUCUGCACGAAUCGUCGUGAUAACCCACGACGAUGAGAAAACAUGGCUUUCAUACGGUGAACCGUCACUCUCCCGAAUCGGUCAUUCUCUCAGGUCCAGAACAAGUUACAUUCUCAUUGAGUAAUGUAGGAUAAUGAUGCGGAGUUGCACCCGUUUACCCUACAGGUUGCAGGUAUACUUCAAGUAAGGUAACUCGUCAUGCAAGCAUGCGAAUAACCUAUUUGAGUUACCGAAAUAUUUCUCUUGUUUGAUAUAAAAGAUGUCACCUAUACGCUUGUUCGGCGUUGCCAUAAUAAUGUGUCCAUAGAUCUGCGUUCAACCUGCCUUCGACCGUGCCGAGACCCACGACCAGGAUAGGACGUUGACGCGUGUGUUUUAGAUAUUCGAAGCGCGUAAGAGGCGUUCGGGAGAUACCGGGGACUUCGCAAGCGAAGGAUGCGAAAAAUUGUCGAUGUAAAGAGAGUAUACGCGCAAGAGUAUACGUUGUAUAUUGAGAAGUGGAAGCGUUAGGUUUAUCUCGACUCUCGGUAACAUUGAUCUCAACUUAGGAAUUGAACCUUAUUCAAUUUUUAAUAGACGAUAUGCAUCUUAAUCUUUCAAACGCAAUAUCGCAAUAUUAAUGUCCAUUGUAAAAAAUUCGAAGAUUCGAGAAUUCAAGAGAGCUUGGAGAGCGAGUAUCCUGGAACUCGGAGAAAUCGUCCUGCGUACGUCCAAGAAUCUUGACCAUCCAAAGCUUUCGGAAUUGAAGUCUAGGGAAUUCAAAAAUUUAAAAAGGGUAUUUUUAUGGAUUCCGAAAUCCCGGUCUUAGCCUGCCACUCUAAGGAUUUAAGUCUAUACCAGAAAUGAAUCGAGGGAAAUGAUUUCACAUAUGAAGAGGGAAAAAUCGUACAUAAACGCACAAAGGAAAAAGAAGGAUAUUAUUAUAUAUAAGUAUGAUAAGGAUACACAUAUCACAAAUAGCAAGAGUAAAUCAAUACCAAUUGAGCGGAACUUUCUAUUGAUCCGGUAAAAAAAUAACCUGGAAAUGUAUAUAUUUUGAUUUUUAAACUGGUUAUCCGGUAAUUAUCGGUGUACUACGUGGUAAACUGAGAUGACGAUUCCAGUUUCGGUAUGAGGCGUUUGUAUGGUAACAAUUUUCAAUUGUUUUUCUUUCGAUAACAUAAUUUUACAUUGGAAUUUUCUUUAUGGAGAUGAAGAGAGAUAUGAGAAGGUAGGAGGGGGGGGAGGGGUGCACAUGUGAGACAAACUUUUUGAUUGACAGAAAGCUGCGUGCGUUUGGAAGAUCCCUCGUCCCGUUCGACUGGCAGACCGUGAGGAAUGUGGUUUAAAUUGCUCGAGAUCGUACCCGCGGCGUACCCGUGUAAAAUGCAGUUUAUUGAACGUGACCAUCCAGGUGGAGGUUUGGUUUGAUGGACGGCUUGAAAGAGAGAAAAUGAGAAUGAGAGUGAUUGCUAGCGUAACUAGCUAUCGUUCCUUAUAUCAUAAUCAUAAUAUAUCUAUAUGUUGUUGCAUUUUUCUUUGCUCGGUUUCUCUUUUUGUGUUUCACACAGCAGGGCGGCAGAACUAGAUCUAAACCUUUCAUAGAUUAGAAAAAUGGCCCCGGCGUGUCACUAUCUGCACAUCUAAUUCGACAACCUGUAGGACGAUACGUUGCUCGGUGAUCAUCGGAAGAUACCGCUGGACUUGCGUGUUCCUUGAGAACGAUAAAGGUAACGAGAGACGAAGGAUCAUCGUUGAUCCUUGUAUCUUGUACCUCGUAUCUCGUACCUCGCGUAUGCAAAUGUUAGAAGGGGGGGACGGGGGCAAAACAAUGUUCUUAUGAGUCAUAGGAAGAUGCUGCUUUGCACAAUGGCGAUGAAGAAGAAUGCGCUUGGAGGGUAUUUGGAGGUGGCACAAGAUUACUAGAUAUAAUUGCUGAUAUCACAUGAUGUGACGAUACGCUGAUGUCCCAUACUUCAGUUAGUUUGGCGAGAUGUAAUUUCACUUCCGCACGAAACACUUCUGCAAGGACACGCCGAGCCCACGGAGCUGCGAAUUUGAAAAUCUCGGGAUGAAUUAAGUUUAAGGAUAAGGAUAUGGAGUUUAAGCAUUCAAUCAACGUAAAGAGCUAAGGAUAUAAAGCUUCAAUAAUUCCACAAUUUAAGAACUUGAGACAUACUUGGAAGGCACAUUCGAGGAUCUGUAGACAUCUAGAAGUCCAAGAAUCCGAAGACAGUUUUGGAGAUUUCCUUUUCACUUCAUUUUCAUUAGAACGAAAUUCUCUUGUCGCGAUGUGCGUGUAUCUCCGAAAUUUUUAUUUUGUAGAAGAAAUCGCGACAGCCUAUUUGUCCAAUAUGGAGCAAUAUAUAAAAAGAAUUGAGGGUACUUCACGAAAACUGAAUAACAAAUAAUUAAUUUGAAAUGUUCUAACUCGAAAAGAGGAAAAGACUAUCGCAUUGUUUAUGAAGAUAUUGAUUUUAAAAGUUCUUAGAAGAGCAAGAAAGGUAUACAAUAUUUCAUUAAUUAUAUUAUGAUUGUCAAUAUGUAGGUCUUUACGGUCAUUUUUUAGGACAUCUGGAAGAUGUAUAAUGUGGGUGGCAAAAUACCGCUCAUGGGGGGGGGGGGGGAGGGUCAAAUAUCAUUUUGUUUUUUCACAGAAAGCAGUCAUUUAAAUCACGACAGUCGUUACACUCAAAAUGUAUUCUAGUCACGGAUGUAGGAUGGUUUGAUGGUUGAAGGCAAUGGUUCGCAAUGUGACGUAUUACCAUAUUACGUAUCACCAUAUUCCUAAGGGAGCAAGGAAAUAUAUGAAAAUUGAUAUACUAGUUAUGAAAAGAGGAGAUUGUGCAAAGUAUCAAAGUUCCUCGGUGGAAAGUUCCUGGCAAGCUGUAUCGCCAAAAAUGUCUUAUUGUAUCUUUCAACAAGGACUUGGUCUCUUCAAGAGAUGGCUUUAGGUUUUGCAACAGAGGGCGAUGUUGAAAAAUACAAUUUUUUCGAAGAAGAUGCAAAUUCGAAAGUUUGGCAUAAGUUACGUGGACUCGUGUGGACCGAAAAUGCAGAUUUUGGGCUUUAAUAGAGUUAAUUAGAAAGAAGAUGAGAUAAUUCAUGGUAUAAUUAAAAGGAAGAUGAUAGCAUGGCUCGAUGAAAUAUAAUAGUUUGUUAAGAAAAACGGAAUGGAGCAGUGAUAGAGGUAAGCAACAGCUGCAGAAUUUCAGUCAGGUAACGGUUUCCAGAAAAGAACCUUUUGCCGUCGUGCUUUUUUAAUGCUUGAUUAUCGAAAAAUUAGCGUUGGCUUUUUUUAAGCGAUUGCUUAAUUAUUGAACGUUGAAAGAUUAGCAUCAGUAUCGGCUUUCUUAAAGAACUGCUAGAUCUCAUUGUGAGAUUAAUUAGAAUGAUUUAACAUUUACAGUUAAUUGAAGAUUUGAAGUAAAAACUAAUUUCAUGUCAAUUUUCUUUUAAUGCAAGUUUAUAGACUGGAUUAUUGAAUUAGAUCAAGUCGUUAACUAGAUAUAUCGAAAUUCAGAUUGAUUCCAAUUCUAUCCUACUAGUACAUUCGUUAUAUUUGCAUUUAGUAUAUUUGGAUCUAAAUGGACUCGUAUAUAUCUUAACUGGUUUUAAUGAGGUAUAUUCAUGUUUUUCUUUUUUCCAUAUUUUAUAAAUGUAUAUUUAAGAAUAUUGGAAGAGAGUGUGAGGUGCCUGUGUAUAAAGUAGUCGCGUUUUAAAAGUGGAGUUAAACAGAGCAACAGUACAAACGUGAACAAAACGACUUGCACUUACGUUCCUGCGUCAUCAUGAACAGCCUUGUAUUUCUCUUGAUAUCCCGAAGAGGCUCGAUCUCACUUUUCUUCUCGCUCCUGAGAUUCCGUUGCAGUCAUCGAGACCAAAGGGGCACCUUGGACGUGUGAGUUAUCCGUCUCUAAAACUUUUCCUACUAACGGAGUGUUUUAGAGAGGUACCAAAGAUGGUCAACCAUGUCGUGAUUUAUCGUCCGCCUUCGAAUUCGGCGCUGGCUCUCCAAACACUUGCUCGACUGCGCGAGCUUGCAAGUUUGGUCCUCGAUUUCUCUUGUCGUUGGCUGCCUUCGAGAUCUUAAAGGUUUUCCUCAUCUGGACACACAAGAAUUCGCGUUAUAUGUGACUCACCGCCCAUUAGAUCAGCGAGAUUCUUCGUCAACUAGGAUUUCAUCACAAAAGAGGAUUUCCGAUGGAAAAUAGAAUCGUAGGACUUGCAAGGGAUUGGGUUUUUCAACAGCUGGCGCGAAAUGAGCAGAGUUCCAGAAAAACGGCAUACCCAUUCUCCUAAAAAAAUUUUAUUUCUUCAAAUGCUGUACAUCCGUGAAAAAUCACUCGCUAACUACAUUGUUGAAGAAAUAUUGAAUACUAAGAGAACAUCUUUUGUCUUAAUGUGAAGAUGGAGACAUCACAAGACCAUCGUAGAAGAUCGUUAGACUUUGUUGUAAAAGAUCAUCAUGAAAUCUUCCUAUAGAAACAAAUCGUGGGAUUUUAUUACUUACAGAAAUCAGUAUAAAAAAUUAUGCAAUUUUGUUACUAAAGAAAAUCAUUCGUUGCAAAAAGAAGCGUGAAAAAUACUAUCGCGAGACUCUCUAUCGUAGAAGAGGAACGUCAUGCAAUCAUCAUAAGAAAGAGUUCUCAACAUUGGAUUUCAUUGAAAAUUGUCGCGGGACUAUAUCAUAAGAUGAAAUUAUCAAAGAAUUUUGUUGUUUACAAAAUAUUGUAAAUCUCGUAAAAAAAUCAUCGUGGGAUUUCAUCGCAGAAGAGGAUCAUCGCGGGACUUCGUCGAAAAAGAGGAUCAUCGUGGGCUUUUAUCGCAGAAGAGGAUUAUGGCAAAAUUUUAUCGCGGGACUUCGUCGAAAAAGAGAAUCAUCGUGGGACUUCAUCGCAGAAAGGAUCAUCACGGGACUUCGUCGGAAAAAAGGACUAUCGUGGGCUUUCAUCACAGAAGAGAAUUAUCGCGGAACUUCGUCGCAGAAGAGCAUUAUUGCAAAAUUUUAUCGCGGGACUUCGUCGAAAAAGAGAAUCAUCGUGGGACUUCAUCGCAGAAGAGGAUCAUCACGGGACUUCGUCGGA